GUGAAUUCAUCUCCGGGGGUAGAGCACUGUUUCGGCAAGGGGGUCAUCCCGACUUACCAACCCGAUGCAAACUGCGAAUACCGGAGAAUGUUAUCACGGGAGACACACGGCGGGUGCUAACGUCCGUCGUGAAGAGGGAAACAACCCAGACCGCCAGCUAAGGUCCCAAAGUCAUGGUUAAGUGGGAAACGAUGUGGGAAGGCCCAGACAGCCAGGAUGUUGGCUUAGAAGCAGCCAUCAUUUAAAGAAAGCGUAAUAGCUCACUGGUCGAGUCGGCCUGCGCGGAAGAUGUAACGGGGCUAAACCAUGCACCGAAGCUGCGGCAGCGACACUAUGUGUUGUUGGGUAGGGGAGCGUUCUGUAAGCCUGUGAAGGUGGCCUGUGAGGGUUGCUGGAGGUAUCAGAAGUGCGAAUGCUGACAUAAGUAACGAUAAAGCGGGUGAAAAGCCCGCUCGCCGGAAGACCAAGGGUUCCUGUCCAACGUUAAUCGGGGCAGGGUGAGUCGACCCCUAAGGCGAGGCCGAAAGGCGUAGUCGAUGGGAAACAGGUUAAUAUUCCUGUACUUGGUGUUACUGCGAAGGGGGGACGGAGAAGGCUAUGUUGGCCGGGCGACGGUUGUCCCGGUUUAAGCGUGUAGGCUGGUUUUCCAGGCAAAUCCGGAAAACCAAGGCUGAGGCGUGAUGACGAGGCACUACGGUGCUGAAGCGACAAAUGCCCUGCUUCCAGGAAAAGCCUCUAAGCAUCAGGUAACAUCAAAUCGUACCCCAAACCGACACAGGUGGUCAGGUAGAGAAUACCAAGGCGCUUGAGAGAACUCGGGUGAAGGAACUAGGCAAAAUGGUGCCGUAACUUCGGGAGAAGGCACGCUGAUAUGUAGGUGAAGCGACUUGCUCGUGGAGCUGAAAUCAGUCGAAGAUACCAGCUGGCUGCAACUGUUUAUUAAAAACACAGCACUGUGCAAACACGAAAGUGGACGUAUACGGUGUGACGCCUGCCCGGUGCCGGAAGGUUAAUUGAUGGGGUUAGCGGUAACGCGAAGCUCUUGAUCGAAGCCCCGGUAAACGGCGGCCGUAACUAUAACGGUCCUAAGGUAGCGAAAUUCCUUGUCGGGUAAGUUCCGACCUGCACGAAUGGCGUAAUGAUGGCCAGGCUGUCUCCACCCGAGACUCAGUGAAAUUGAACUCGCUGUGAAGAUGCAGUGUACCCGCGGCAAGACGGAAAGACCCCGUGAACCUUUACUAUAGCUUGACACUGAACAUUGAGCCUUGAUGUGUAGGAUAGGUGGGAGGCUUUGAAGUGUGGACGCCAGUCUGCAUGGAGCCGACCUUGAAAUACCACCCUUUAAUGUUUGAUGUUCUAACGUUGGCCCGUAAUCCGGGUUGCGGACAGUGUCUGGUGGGUAGUUUGACUGGGGCGGUCUCCUCCUAAAGAGUAACGGAGGAGCACGAAGGUUGGCUAAUCCUGGUCGGACAUCAGGAGGUUAGUGCAAUGGCAUAAGCCAGCUUGACUGCGAGCGUGACGGCGCGAGCAGGUGCGAAAGCAGGUCAUAGUGAUCCGGUGGUUCUGAAUGGAAGGGCCAUCGCUCAACGGAUAAAAGGUACUCCGGGGAUAACAGGCUGAUACCGCCCAAGAGUUCAUAUCGACGGCGGUGUUUGGCACCUCGAUGUCGGCUCAUCACAUCCUGGGGCUGAAGUAGGUCCCAAGGGUAUGGCUGUUCGCCAUUUAAAGUGGUACGCGAGCUGGGUUUAGAACGUCGUGAGACAGUUCGGUCCCUAUCUGCCGUGGGCGCUGGAGAACUGAGGGGGGCUGCUCCUAGUACGAGAGGACCGGAGUGGACGCAUCACUGGUGUUCGGGUUGUCAUGCCAAUGGCACUGCCCGGUAGCUAAAUGCGGAAGAGAUAAGUGCUGAAAGCAUCUAAGCACGAAACUUGCCCCGAGAUGAGUUCUCCCUGAGACUUAGAGUCUCCUGAAGGAACGUUGAAGACGACGACGUUGAUAGGCCGGGUGUGUAAGCGCAGCGAUGCGUUGAGCUAACCGGUACUAAUGAACCGUGAG
rnacentral:rRNA from 1 species